UCAAAGAUGUUGACCCUCAAGGACACGCAAUAACCACGGUUGCACCAACAUUCACACAAGAUCAAUAUGAGAAGAUCCUGGAGUUGCUGAAAAAGGAGACUGAGCCUACCGUCCACACUUUAACCGGUACAGGGCCUUCAGGAUGGGAGGAUCAGGAUGACUGGUAGAGAGUAUAAGGGAUUAUAUGUGCUAAAAGUCACCAACAAUACCCCUAUUUCAGUCAAUGUAAUUCAAAAUGAGAAAAUUUCCAAGA